UUCCCGACAACUAUAUUAUACUCUUCGGUUGGGAUUAGCUUUUGCUGUUACUGACGAGAAUCAGUACAACUAUGAUGGACUGCUUUUCUAGAGCUAGAGCACUACAAAAGUAGAGAUGGUCUUUCACGGCUACACAAUUGGAAUUGAUCUCUGUUCAUUCAUAAAUCAUAAUUAGUGUAGUUCAAGCAGAGUGUUAGGGCCAUUGUAGUUUGUCUCAUUAAAUCAAGACUUCAAUUAUUAAAUAAUAUUACAACUUAUAUGUAGAUAACUUUUAUUAACUUGAUUUUCUAUUUUGCAGGUCCCUGCAGUUAUUUGUCAUUGGAUACUUUAGAAACAUUCUGUAAAUUGGUAUCAGUUGCACACUUUUUGUUUAUCUCCGUAUCUAUGAUGAUUACCCACUCCAAAGCAUCCCCGCGUUAAUCUGGAAUAAAAGGAGAAGAGCAGAACCAGGAUUUUUAUUCAAUGGUGGUUGAUUAGUAUGUAUGAUCCAAUCAAAUGUGUCCAGCUGUCCUCGUGUUCAUCUCCAACCUUUGAAACUCAGUUUUCAAGUUUAGAAAUCCAAUAUGUAUAUUCCAGUACAUGAUUUUAUUUUAUGAUGGUUUAUUUAGUAGGAAUGAUCUAAUCAAACAUGUCCAACUCUCCUGACAGUGUUCCUCUCCAACCAUUGAGGCUCAGUUUCCAAGUUCUGACUUAGCAUCAAUCCAUCAUGUAAAUUCCCAGUACAUGACUUUAUCUCGCAGUGGUUAAUUUAGCAAAGGAGUUGUACCCCGUUGUUUCAAGCGGGUCAGGCGCCGCCUCUGUCUGCGAGGCUUCCACAAGUAAUAUAGUGGCGGCCUGGCGCCGCAAAAAUUUGCUACCUCGACGCCAUUCAACUUCCUCACCAGUCGCUCCUAUGCCCACUCACAGGCAAGUAAAACUUUGCAUCCUUCAAUAAUCUGCUAUUGAUCAAAUACUCGUAUAAUUUAUCUCAAGUAUCACAGUCCAGAUCAUUAAUGUAUUGUUUGUGUUUCUAUCAUGCUAGAUUUUGUUUCAAGUUCAUUUCAUGUGUAAGCAAAUUUAGAGUGUUGAAGUCGUAGUGAAUUAAAUAACAUUUGGAACCUUUGUCUAACAAUCUUUGUCCAAGUCCAAGAUGAAUAGGGCAAUCGGUUUUCCAAGAUUGAAAAUUCAUGAAUAAACAGUUGUGAUGCAAAUUUACAGAACCUGAAACUUGAUGAUAGUUACUUCAGUGUGCGCGCACCUUUUGCCAUAUUUUACGUACUGUACAACUACUUUGCUUUUGUCCGAUGAAAACUGUUUGCGACACCUGGCAGCUUGGCCUCCUGGGAAGAAGAGACGAGGGAGAGAGAGGAGGUGAGAUGGAGAGAAGAGAAGGAGGCGGGACAACUUAGACCAGUGUGGCCCUCACUUCAUUACUGCUUUGCCUUGGUUGGCACCGGACACACAGGCCCCGCACAAGCGUGGUCUCGGAUGUCUCAGCUAUGGGAACACAUUGCCGGAUCACUCUCAUCUAUGACUGUUCCUAUUCCGUGCAUCAUGCCACUCCGAUGGUGUAAAGCUAGCUGUCGUGAUUGUUUGGGUGGUGCACAGCCAGUGUUUGUUGGAAUGCCUAUGCGACAACAGGUAAGUGAUUGACUUUGCAGCAACAAUUACUGAUGAAUAUUGCGAGCAGGUUCCUCUUUUAGCACGACCGGCUGAGUUCCUCAGUUAAAGAUUUUUUUUUACUGAAUUGGGAUGCUUUGCCUGCAUUUAAAGUGGAUAUUGUUGAUUGAUAAGUGUUGACAGUUACUAGCGUUGUUGAUGUUUCAUAGUAUUUUUUUGGUAGCUCACAACCUCAUGUAGUGCUUGAGAAAACCUGAGAAUAUUGAGAAGCUUCGUGUUGCGAGUGCGAGGAGAUGAACAAGUACUUCUCUCACUGCAAGGUACGAUCAUCAGUUAGUGUCUACAAUCUUCUUUCUCAGAAAAUAGGGGAUUUAUAUCAGCGUGCCAUCACUGCAAGGAAUCAACACCGUCUCAACGGCGGCAACAACGGAUACAGAACAACUGAUGCGGCCUGAAGUGGACCUCAUUCAACCUUAAUUCCAGAAGCUGCUAAACAUGUCGUGGAAGCUGAUGCAAAAUCAAA